UAUUAUUUUUAUUAUUUAAGUUUUAUGUAAUUAUUAAUUUUAAUAUAAGAAGAUGAUUUUUUAUUAUUUAAGAAGAAAAAAUUUAAUUUAUAAUAGUGAAUAUGUAUUGUGAAAGAAUUAAAUUAAUAUUUUUAGAAGAAAAAUUAAUUUUUUGUACCUUGUGUAUCAGGGUUUAUUAAAUAUAAAUAAUAUAUGUUUAUUAUCUCGAAUUUAAAAGAGCUAAAAAUUUAUAUUUUUUAUUGUUGAAUAAAUAUUGUGAAUAAAUUUUUUGUAAUGAAACGUUAUUCGUUUUUAAAUAUAUCUAGUUUUUUUAGAAAAAAAUUUAAUUUUUUUUUAGAAUUUUAUAUAAAUAAUUAUUUAUUAAUAUAAAUUUUAAAUUUUAUAAUUUUAGGGAUAAGCUUGAAAUUAGAUUUUUAUAAAUAAAUUAAAAUUAUUUAAAUGUAGGAUUAGAAGUUUUUAUCAUUAAUAAAAUGUUAUAAUUUAUAAAUAAAGAUUUAUGAUUUUUAAUUAUUUUAAAUUUUUUAUAAAAAUUUUUAUUUUAAUAUUUAAAAUAAAGUAAUAAUGAUAGAAUUAGUAUAUAGUAUAUUAUUUGUAAGAAUGAUUUUUUAGUUUAGGUAAAGGAACUAGACAAAUAUAUUUUUCACCUGUUUAUUAAAAACAUGUCUUUUUGAUAAUAAUUUAAAGUCUAACCUGCCCACUGAGGAUUUAAAUGGCUGCGGUAAUUUGACCGUACAAAGGUAGCAUAAUCAUUAGUUUUUUAAUUGAAAGCUGGUAUGAAAGGUUGAAUGAGAAAAUAGUUGUCUCUAUCUUAAUAUGUAGAAUUUUAUUUUUAAAUAAAAAAGUUUAAAUAAUUAUAAAAGACGAGAAGACCCUAUAGAGUUUUAUAUAAUUUUUAAAUUUUUUUUUUUAGUAUUAAUAAUUAGGUUUAAAAAUUUUAUUUGGUUGGGGUGAUUGAAAAAUUUAAUUAACUUUUUUUAUUUUGUAACAUUAAUUUAUGAUUUAUUGAUCCAAAACUUUUGAUUAUAAGAAAUAAUUACCUUAGGGAUAACAGCGUAAUUUUUUUUUAGAGUUCAUAUUAAAAGAAAAGAUUGCGACCUCGAUGUUGGAUUAAAUUUUAUUUUAGGUGUAGAAGCUUAAAUAUUAGGUCUGUUCGACCUUUAAAAAUUUACAUGAUCUGAGUUUAAACCGGUGUGAGCCAGGUUGGUUUCUAUCUUUAUAAAAGAAAAAUAUUUUAGUACGAAAGGACCAAAUAUUUAAUUAAUAAAUUUUUUUAUUGAAUAUUAUU
rnacentral:rRNA from 1 species